ACUAAGCCUUGGGUGCCAUGGGGAGGCUCCUGGGGGGAGCGGGAGACAGGCCCCUUCCUCAGCGUCCAAUUCCUGGCAGGAACUGCCGCAACAUUCUCCAGGUUUCCUUGACAGGGUUGCUGUGAGUUUAAGAAAAACAUUUCAAUACUUAAUGUUUGUGGAGCACGGAUCGUCACCAGGCCCUGCACUAAGCCUGGCAGGGGCCGGGCUCUCUGGUGCACAGCUGGGUGUCGGUGCACACUCAGGGCAGCGAGGAUCACGCGUGUGCCCAGCAUCUUGAGCCUCUCCUGUGCCAGGCGACUCUCUCCUGAGCCCCGUUCCCCCGCCCAGCACAGAGCAGGGAGUCCCUCAAGAAGGUCCUGUGUCUUCCCUCAUGUGGCACGCGUCAGUGGGGGCAGCCCCGCUUCUUACCGUGGCCAUUCCUGGAAACCCCAUUGUAGGACAAGUGAUAAAGGAGAUUGGGAAAACAAUACAGAAAUUACGUUUCGGUGAAGUCGUGUUCCUCAAAUGGGGCCAUCCGUCAACGGGCUCCUAUCAGGGAUAAACAGCCCUAAGCAAAACAAGGAAGCCAGCCCCACCUUAAAUUGGAGAAUACUUUUCCUCAGUCCUGUAAGUAGGCAAUUAUGGACAUGUCUGUUGUCCCAGGGACCCUGCCGUGACACCUAACCAGGUUAACUCCGCUGUGUCUUAGGUCUACUUUAGGAUUCAGUUAACAUGUAAUUAAUAAUCCGUCUCUCUCUUCGGUGUGUUGAAGGGCUUUAGGGCAGUCUGUGGAGGAAAAAGUUUUCUCAAGAGACUUGCUCACAGAGAUCUGAUCCUACUGCACCUUCUUUCUGGGAAGAGGCCCCAUAGCCACCCGAAAUUCAUCUUCAGACCUGGGAGUGCUACCGAGGUGGUCAAUCCACGGUUUUAGCAGAAUGCUGCUCCUGGCCUGCUGGGAGGUCAGCGUCUGCUCCAGCUUGCCACUCCACACACCUCUGUCUCCGCCGCGCCACCCGCCACGAUUCCAACACACGGGAGCUCGGGAGUGUCAUGUAAAGUAAGAAAUAUAGCCACGGUGACCUUUCCUCCAGGGGAGGCAGGGAGAGAAAGCCUUCGGUUUGGAGGACGAGAGCCAACACUACUUCCAGGAAGAGUCUUGUGGGCUGCGUUUGCUUCUGGGGCUCAGCCGAGGGGGCCCCCCCGGGUGUGGACUGGGCACAGGGAUGUGGGUGUGCAGAGGUUUGGGACAAACAUGGAAGGUGUGGGUGUCGUGGGGAGAUGGGGCGGCCAAGGGCUGUUGGAGGGCAUGUGGACAGAGGAGUGGUGGGGCUGGGACUCCCCAGGGCUGGAAGCUGAAAACCCCGGACCCCGCUGGGGGAGGGGCAUGAGGGAACCGAGGCCUCCCCACUCUCUGCUGGCGCCAGCGUCCUAUGGUAGGAGUCACUCAGCUCACUCAGGCCACCAACGGCCACAGAGACACACGGAAUCUGUAACAGCUCAAGGGAUGUCGGAUGCAGAACCCUAAUGAGGAGAAUGCUAGACUGGGACUGAGGAACCCUGAGUUCAAAUUCCGACACGGCGGUUCCAUGCGCCAGGGAUUUCCCUCGUACAGCAGAAUAGUUGAGGCUCAGAGAGGGCACCUGUCUUGUAUGACAUCACACAGCCUAGGUGGCGGCAAAGGAGAUUUGAACUCCGAGAGACUUUGAGGUUAAGUGACACUCAUAGGGAUGAGGCGCAUCAAAAGAGCCCUCACCCUCAAGGGCCUCUGCACCCUGACACCUCUGGCACCUCUUUUGGUGGAGAGGAGAGCCUGAAUUUCUCACCUUCUCUUGCUCUGACUGCCGGGGGUUCCCACUAUGGUAAAGAACAGCCCUGGGAACUUUUAAAAACAACCUUACAGACAUAUAUAUUUACGUAGCAUAACAUUCAGCCAUUUCAGAUGUGCAACUCCAGGCUUUCAGUAACUUCACUACAACAGGUGGUGUGGCCUCACCACGAAUGAGUUUUAGAACAUCUGAGACAUUUUUGCAGCUUCAUAAACAUUUUAGAAUCCGCUUGUCAAUUUCCAUAAAAAAAAAAAAGACAAAAAAAGACCUGCUGGAAUUUUGAUAAGAAUUGCACUGAAUCUAACCAGUGGUUUGGGAAAACCACUAAUUUAAUAAUAAAGAGUCUUCCCGUCAGUGAACA
rnacentral:lncRNA from 12 species